UACGUAGGGUGCGAGCGUUGCCCGGAUUUAUUGGGCGUAAAGGGCGCGUAGGCGGUUAGGCACGUCGGUGGUGAAAUCGCUCGGCUCAACUGGGCGGGGUCAGCGGAUACGGUGUAGCUGGAGCAAGCUAGGGGGCAAUGGAAUUCCCGGUGUAGUGGUGGAAUGCGUAGAUAUCGCUUGGAACGCCAACGGUGAAAACAGGUUGCUGGGGGUGUGCUGACGCUGAGACACGAAAGCCAGGGGAGCGAACGGG
rnacentral:rRNA from 1 species